GGCGCUCCCUAUGCGGAGGCGCCUCCCUCUGUGCCCCUGGGAACCUGGCACGCCUGGGCCCCAGGCGAAAGAGGCAGAAAGCGCCCAGAGAGAGUUCACCACCCCAACCUUCUUACCCUAACCCUCAAGGCUGCCUUCCACCGCGGGCUCCCUGCAGGCCUGGCAACCUUCUCAUCCUUCACUUCACCUUUCUCCUCACCCAAAAGAGCUCCUGUCCCUCCGCGCCUGGGGACUAGCCCAUCCCGAACCCACGCGACGGCGUGGACUGCGCCCUGAUUCGCACCCUGUCGCCGCCCGCGGAGUCCGAGGCUGGAAACAGAUGCCGUGGCCUGCUAGGAAGCUGCCCCCUCGGCCUGCGGCGAGGGCAGGAAAGGCCCGUCCCCCACCCACCCAGGCGUCUCUGAGACCGGCCCACAACUCUCCUUCUUACCGAGGUCUGAAGAGAAGUCUCCAGCACUUGCCUGGCGGAGGGUGUCACUCUCAGCAGCGCGCCUUGCCACCUGCAGCUGCAGCCUGGAACUCAGAUUCUCCAGUGUCUGGAAUCUGGGACAUGCACAUUUUGCACGACUGUGUAUCCUUUUGCUUCUUCUCCCUGGAGAACCCUGCCCAGUAAUAAAGGGACUGGUGUUAUACCACCAAGAGACCAAAGGAAGAGACAGUCUUUAACUCCUGCUGGUGGACCAAAACCACUCAUUUACGUUCUGAUGAUUCUGAGCUGGAAAAGCCAAGGAAACAUCCAGACAUGUGGCAGGGAACACAACUUCCAGCCUUUCUCGGAUUUCUGGGCCUUUCUUGUCAGUCAUUUAUAGCUGUCAAAGUGUUAUCACUAUUGUACCAAGACACAAUACAUCUGUAAACUUACCCUGAUUCGCUUUCUCUGAAUCUAGUUUGUAUUUU
rnacentral:lncRNA from 1 species